AGGGUCGAUGGCAAAGACAUUGCAAUUUGUAGGUUAGAACAGCUUUGCCCCUUCCCAUAUGACCUCGUCCAACGAGGACUGAGGCGUUAUCCAAGUAUGUUCUCAAUCACAGGAAAAUGGUUGCCCAUACAGUAAGGAAAUGGCUCGUCAAUCCUCUAUGUUUCAACUGGAUGGCUAUAAUUUUCUUUGGAGAACAAAUAGAAGUUGGUUUUCUCCAUCAUGCACUGAGAAGUGCUACAGGCUAUAGUAAAUCUAGGAAGAUCCAGAAAUGUAGCAUGCUUUCAGUAAUUGGAAUCCCCAAUAGAUUCAAAUGCGGGUGGGAAUUCUAAGGAGUACAAGGCUGAAAUCAUCUUUAUUAAACAUGUAAAGAUUUACCCUACAGGAAUUGCCAGGAAGAGCCGAUGAACACCGGUGCUUACAGUUACACUGCACCCCGUCUUUGCACAGCUAUGAAAGCGAUGGGCGGAGGAUCCUGGGAGGAUAUCAAAUACAUUGGCAGGGGUCCAUGCACGGUCUCCUUGGACUGCAUACUUGAUUAAUUUUCCAGCGAUAAUAAGCCGAACUUGAUUACCUGGUACCAAACAAGAGGCCCAUGAACAGACGGAGACGACACGUCAGAUACAAGCAACACAGGUGGUCAAAUACCGAUGGGCUGAUCUCAAGGCCUUUUCUUACGUGCUGGUGCUGCGUUAGAAGUCACGUGAGACGACACCAACCCCUUCAGAUCGCCUCAUGUAUAUCACACACUAAUGAAAUGACAUCUAUCUAGGAAGAUUUAUUUAUUUAUUGAAAUGAAAAGGCAGAUGGCACUACCACGUGAAAGGAAAAUGAUUCAUGACUUCAUUUUGGAUAUGGCAAACAACAAGUAAAGCUUUCCGUCUGUCACAGAGCUGUGUCCUCUUCGAAACUAAAAAUGAACAUUACUUGCCAAUAUCUGCAUGCAUGCACAUGGCACAAUAAUGUUUCGAGCUGUCUGGAAUACGUGUAUGAAGUUUGCUUGGAUUUGCAACAGUCCUGGAUUUUAUCAGCAUAUCAAUCAUAUUGUAGACUUGGAGUGGCUGGUUGCUAGCUAGCUAGCUCAUAAGGUAGACGUACAAGAAAGAUGUAUAUAUAUUCGGGAAAGAACUAUAUAUAUCAUUGGGGUGUUGACAUGCCUUGGAGGAAAUGCUACGUACUGCUUUAACUA